rnacentral:lncRNA from 1 species
CCCAUGCAGUCGGACGACCCGCAUGCAGAGUUGGGCGUGAUAAGGGGUCUACGUGAUUAAGGGCCCUAACCCUAAUCAUAUGUCAAACAGGGUAACUCCAAAGGUAGUGUUGGAAAGGGAUUCCACUUGCAUCUUUUAAGGAGAUUGUGUUGGACUCAAAUAUGGUAACUAUCAUAUUUAGGAGUCCUAUUCUAAUUCGGAGAAGGAGGCCAAGAUGCUAUAAAUACAAGGCCAAGGUUACAAUUAACAGGUAAUACCUACUUUUGAGCACUAAACACUUGAGCCUCUAUUAUUAAAUCUUGUGAACGGCCUAUACUUAUUCUCACACCGGAGCUAUCCCCUUUCAACGCGUGAAUUCUGUGAUUGGACGCGUGGACGAAACUUGGCGUUAACAUUGGGUAAGGAAAUCGUACUUGCUAGGGUUAGAGUUUCGUGUUGGCUGAGGAUGAGAGAAAUUCACGAAGAGCACGGAAUUGAUUGAUGGAUUGAAGAGGGGGGAAGAAUAGGUGCGUGAUUACUCCAAUGACACGUGGCAGAACUUUUAGAAUCCGGAAACCUUGUUAGAGUAGCAGGGACUUUGAAGAGCCUUCUUAAGUGCUUCGAGUUAAGAAAAUGUUCAAGUCCUCUAAUCUUCUAAGAGUUCAAGUCCAAAGUUCAAAGAGAGGUCCUCUCCUUCAUAUAAUAGAAGGCGUAUUUAUAGGAUCUACUGGAAAGUAAUCACAUGUCAGACACAUGUUUUCAGAAAAAUUUCAGAAAUAUCCUUUUUAGUCAUCAGAAUAAUACCCAGAUCGUCAUGUUCUUCUAGCCAGCAAUUCAAUAUCCUCAAUCAAUUCUCAAAAUGAGUCGCCUCCAUGUACGAGUCUUCUGCCUCGGGAU